rnacentral:rRNA from 1 species
GAUGAACGCUGGCGGCGUGCCUAAUACAUGCAAGUCGAGCGAACAGACGAGGAGCUUGCUCCUCUGACGUUAGCGGCGGACGGGUGUGUAACACGUGGAUAGCCUACCUAUAAGACUGGGAUAACUUCGGGAAACCGGAGCUAAUACCGGAUAAUAUAUUGAACCGCAUGGUUCAAUAGUGAAAGACGGUUUUGCUGUCACUUAUAGAUGGAUCCGCGCCGCAUUAGCUAGUUGGUAAGGUAACGGCUUACCAAGGCGACGAUGCGUAGCCGACCUGAGAGGGUGAUCGGCCACACUGGAACUGAGACACGGUCCAGACUCCUACGGGAGGCAGCAGUAGGGAAUCUUCCGCAAUGGGCGAAAGCCUGACGGAGCAACGCCGCGUGAGUGAUGAAGGUCUUCGGAUCGUAAAACUCUGUUAUUAGGGAAGAACAAAUGUGUAAGUAACUAUGCACGUCUUGACGGUACCUAAUCAGAAAGCCACGGCUAACUACGUG